rnacentral:rRNA from 1 species
UAGGGAAUAUUGCGCAAUGGGCGAAAGCCUGACGCAGCGACACCGUGUGUAGGAUGAAGAUCUUAGGAUUGUAAACUACUGUCAGUUGAAGAAGAAGGUAUGAAAGUUAAGAGCUUGAUUAUUGACGGUAUUCAACGAGGAAGUCUCGGCUAACUCCGUGCCAGCAGCCGCGGUAACACGUAGGAGGCGAACGUUAUCCGGAUUUACUGGGCGUAAAGCGCGUGCAGGCGGUUCAAUAAGUUGGAUGUGAAAGCUCCCGGCUAAACUGGGAGAGGACGUUCAAGACUGUUGGGCUAGAGGAUGAGAGAGGGAAGUGGAAUUCCGAGUGUAGUGGUGAAAUGCGUAGAUAUUCGGAGGAACACCAGUGGCGAAAGCGGCUUCCUGGCUCAUAACUGACGCUCAGACGCGAAAGCUAGGGUAGCAAACG